AGCGAAACCCACUUAAAAUGUGGAUUGAAAUUGAAAUCGAAUCGAAGGGAGAGCGAUUGUUCCAACCCUAGAAUCAGUCUGAAAUUGAAGCUCUUUAAGUAUCGAUGAGGUUUGAUUUCAGUGGAUUUGAUUGUGUGUGGUUUCUUCAUUCUUCAGUCGUAUCGAGGAUCAAUUAGAGUGAUUUCAAUUUAGUCUAUGCGGCUUCUUCUCUCAUAUUUAGGCUAUGCGGCUUCUUCUCUCACAGUCAUCGUGUGUGCUAUUGGUUUCAAUGGCGGCCAAAAGAUUUCUUCCCUCGCAGAUUUCUUGAGUUUUGAUCAGAAUUCACAUUUACUUCAUUGUUUAAGGUACAUUGAGAUAGUUCACUUGUCUUUCGCAGGUUUUUGGAAUUGUGUAAUCUGGAAUCAGCUAGAAUGAUCUUCAAGGCAAUCUCAUACAUGUCAUGACUCUUGUUGGAAUAUAAAAAGGAUAAAUGGGAUAAUUUUCAUCACAAAAAGCUUACAAAUGUCACAUCUUUAUGCAGAAAAGAAGAGUUCAUUGUUUUGAGCAGAAGAAAGUAGAAAGAAAUACAAAAGCAGAACGAAUUUAGAUUACGGGGAAUGUUGUUCUUCCUCACUCUCACUUGCCUAUGAUGAGUUUGGCUCUGGCAUCUCCUUUGUUGAUCUGGAACUGAUCUGUUAGUCCGAAGUGAGCCAUUAGAAGCCACACGAAGUUUAUGAGCUCUCCGCCUCUGCUGAGUUGCUCCACGUGAGCCGUAGAGUCGCAAUGACAGGCUGCAUAACAGAGAAGUUCCACCCACACUUUACUCAGUAUCUCCCAUUUAUCUUUGUUGUGUGUCUUCUCCAUCUCUGCAAGGUCUUUGGCUAGCCUGCUCGCGUCAAACAAUACAGACUUGCUUCGAUCUCCCUUCACUCCCAUUGGUUCAAUUUCACUUUCGACGUCCAGAAUAUUUAGGGUGGCUGUCUCCACGCUUCUAUCGUUCUCGAUAUGCCUCCUCUGGAAGAACUUGUGAGUUUCAGCCAAUGUGUCUCUGAAUCUGAUCUUCCCAAUUCCAGCAACCUCGGACAUCAGACCGGGUUGCAAGAUCAGGAGAUACAUCAUGUAGUCUGAGAUGAUUUUGCUGAACUCGCGGUUACUGUAAUGCUUGCGUUGUUCAUCAUAACCCUCUGGGAUAGUCUCUUUCUCAUGUUGUUGGUAACAGAGCUCGGUUGCGAUGUGCCACAUCAAAAGACUCUGAUCAUAAUCGACCUUUGUGACAUAGCGUACCAGUUUUUCACGUUCUGCAUCCACCGGCAGGUUCUCUCUUAAAGUCCAUUCUCCCCGAGCCAAAGAUAUCCUCUUGGCAUUUUCAGGACUGUCUCCAUACUUUGAUUUGUUUUUCAGCUCUUCGAAGAUGAACUUCCACAAUUCUCUCGUCAUGGGCUCUCCAUGUACAAAUAGUGUCUUGUGGACCAUAUCAAGCGUAUCCGAGAUGUCAAAGAACUCACUGAGGAUAUCCCACACUGAUUUGAUGAAGUGAGGGAUGCGGGAUAUGAACUCGAAAUAGAUAGGGUAAAGAAAACGACGAGCCCAAAGAUGCUUUCUUGAUAACGCAUUGACUUCGUGGCUGAUCCGUCUGUGCACUUCAUUGAUCAACUUGACAAUCGAUCCAAAAAUUUUCUUUAUGACGAAGUUGAGUUUUUUGAAUGGAAAAGUUAUGAUCUUCCAUGAGUAGCGGCGGAAACUACCUCUGGCGUCGUGGAUCCUCUCUACAUCUGCUUUUGUGGCGUACGCUAUAAAGUUAAAAACGUUGAUGCUUCCACUCCACCUCCGAAGGAAGAAACGCGUUGUGAGAACGUCAUGCUUAUCUACCAAUGAACACUUAUCAGCAGCUUCCUUCUUAUCGUCACCUUCCUUCUUAUUGCCACCUUCAUUCUUAUUGCCACCUUCCUUCUUAUCAGCACCUUUCAUGAUACACGGUUUCAAACCUUCUUUGGUACACUUAUGCAUACCAGUCUUGUGGCACUCUUGCGGCGUCCAACGCAGCUUUCUGAAUUUAAGUAACCAGUUAAAACAUCUCUCUUGCCAUGAUUGAAGCUCAUCCGGAUCGUCCUUCAAACUACUGUAUGCAGCACAUGUCCAGUCUGAGAACAGGAACAAAAGGAUGGAUAUGAAAUCCAAAACUAGGCCAACUGCAAACAGCGUAUAAGUAACUACGACAUCAGCUCCAUGAAAAUCUGUGCCUUUGUUAGGUUUCUUAUGAAAAAUGAUGAAUGCAGCCACAAGGGUACCAGAAGCAAAGACCCGUGAGACAGUUCCAAUACCGGUAUGAAGAAUCGCGAUCUUGGUGAAUAGAGCAUCAUAGAGAAAGCCGAGCUCAAUCUCAAUGAUCCUCAAAGCUUCCUCUGGAUCAUUUAAAUUCUCAAAGAUCUCUAGGCUCUCGUCACGCUCCCUGAAGCUGAAGAUAAGGUUGACUACAAGGCCCUUGAAUGUGUUGAAGAAUUUGUAAGCAUACUGAACAAUCUCAAGAUCGGUCAAAUCUUUUUUUCUUUUCUUCGAAGCUAAUGCUGGAUGCUCUAACUUCUUAGGCCUAUUUUCUUUGUCAGGCUCAUCAAUCAGAACGAUCUUGGUGGGAAGUCUUGCCUCUUUCUUGGCCUUGUACUCCUCCAUGAGCUUGGCGUAGUUUGGUCCUGGAUCUGGUGCUUGAAUCAUAGAGUCCCUAAACUUGUCCAAACUUGCACUAUACAGAGCCGUUGUCCUCUCCAGAUACUUUAUAGUCCCAGAAACAAACACUAAGACUAUAACCACCCAAAGGCUAUUGGGCAGAGACAUGACAACCACAUAGACACCAGCAAUUGCCUGAAAGACAAGCCCAAAGACAUGUCGUAGCCAGAGAGCGUUAUCUUCAAGCGCGAAAGCUGUGAUAGUGUCUGGUCCACCAAGAUGCAAGAGCAAGAAUGGUGCCCAUAAAGCCAUUACCUUUUUGUCCUGUGGAGGGUCAUCAGGUUUGAGAUCUUUACCUUGAUUCUUGGAGAUAAGACCAACAGCGAAAUUAGCAGACCAAUCUGCUAAGAGAUAAGAGGACCAAACAAGCACGAUCAAGAGCCUUCUUGGUGUACGUUUCCUUAGAGGAGAGAAGCAAAUGAGAAUGGCUUGAAGGAAGCUCUCACUGGAGCGAGAAGAAAGACGACUCUGCAACUCAGAGUUCAGGACUAAAUCGAGAUUCUUGGUUGCAUCACUUCUGAGAUUCUGAAGUUUUUCUCUGGUCGGAUGAUGUUCACUAUUGCUGCUUCAUAAUGGUGGAUUCAAAGAGAGAGUAUCAGAGAAAUCAAUCAAGCUCACAUAAAUGAAUUUAUCAGGGACAGAAGAAGGACAUGAGUUACAACAAUGCAGAUGAUUCAAGAACAGAUUGUUUUGCUGGCAAACAGUUGAAGACUACUCUUUGAAACAAAACAAAAAAAACACAAUGGAAGCAAAUGAGGGAAACUAAUCAAUUGCUGCUACUUUCGUUGCUUAUUGGAUGAUGAUCACUUGCCUAUAAUCAGUUUGGCUCUGGCAUCUCCUUGGUUGAUUUGGAAUUGGUCUCCUAGUCCAAAAUGAGCCAUCAAUAGCCAAACAAAGCUUAUGAGUUCUCCUCCUUUGCUUAGCUGAGCUGCGUGUUCUAUAGCGCCACACUUUGUCGCUGCAUACGAAAGCAACUCAACCCACACUUGGCUCAUUAUUUUCCACAUCUCUGAGUCGUCCUCCUUAUUCUUUCUUAAACCCUUAAGCUCUUUCGCCAGCAUGGCCCCAUCAAACAGGACGGAUUUGCUUCUAUCUCCUUUCACGUCAAUGGGCUCAGCUUUUGCUGGAACUGCCACUGAUAAAAUUGCCACGCUGGCUUCCUUUGCAUCAGGGGCCUUCUUUGCGGAUAUCCCCAUGAUAUGCCUCCUAUCGAAGAACCUCUGAGCCUCCUCGCACGUGUCUCUGAAUCUUAUCUUUCCAAUACCCACAACAGCUGACAUCAGAGUGGGUUGCAUCAUUAGGAGAUACAUCAUGUAGUCUGACAGGAUUUUACUGAACUCACGGGCGCUAUGAUUCGCUUUAGUGCCUUUUUUUGUCUGGUAUAAGAGCUCAGUGGCUAUAUGCCAUACAAGAAGGCUCUGAUCGUAAUCCAUUUCCAUCACAUAGCGUAGAAGUUUCUCACGUUUUUUUUCUGUUUCUGGGUCACCUUGUAUGUCGCGCAGUGUCCAGUCACCUCUUGCUGAAGAUACCCUCAUGGCGCUUUCAGAGUCGUCAGCGAAACGGGAUUUGGCUUUAACCUCUCCGAAUAUGUGUUCCCACAUAUCCAGGGUGAGACGAUCACUAGAUGUGUAGAUCACCUCAUCUAGCUGAGCUCGGAUGCCAAAGAACUCCAUAAAACUUUUUAUCCAGCGUCCAGGUAGACUAGGAAUGUAAAAUAUGCAGAAGAAGCUAAACCUAAUGUACUCUUCAUUCAACUUCGGGUAUUUCUUGCAUAAACGACUUACUUUACCGUCAAUCCACUUGAAAGUCUGAUGAAUUCUCUGUUUUGUGACUCUAAAACAGGAUUCAAUGACACUUCCAAGUUUUGUGAAUGCGGGGCCAAUGUAAAGUAUGUUGAUAACCUUGUCAAAGGCGAUGUGUAUGAAACCCUUGGUAUGGUGGAUUCGCUUCGGUUUUAAACCUAGGCAGUAUUCGAUCAGGUUGUGUGCAUGUACAUACUCAGACCACCGGCGAUACAUGAAACUCGUGUCGAGCACUUUAUGACAUGGUAUUGUCUUGGCACUCUUGUCGGGCACUUCCUGACCUGGUAUUUUGCUGGUACUCUUGUCGAGAACUUCAUGAGACUUCUCUGUCUUCAACUCCCUCACCCUGAGAAUCCUGUUAAGAAUCCUUUUAAGAAAUGGUGUUUUCUUAGUACUCGUGUUGGGCACUUCAUGAGACUGUGUAUUCUUGUAGCAUUCAUCAUACUCCUCCACCUUCAAUUUCCUGACCCCGAGAAUGUUUUCAAGAAUCCAGUUAAGAAUGUUGUCGGACCAGGUGGGUGGAUCGUCCACUUCGUCCUUCAUCUUCCUCAAUCUGACAAACGUCCAAUCAGAUGCACAGAACAUGAUAAGAGCGAUGCAAUCCAGAGCUAUUCCUCCUAACAGCAAUGCGUAAGUAAGGCCAACAUCAAAUCCACUAUAAUCUUUCUUGCUCUUGUAUUGAAAGAUGCGUAGAGCUGCUGCAAGGCAUCCCAGGGCAAUGAACCUGAAGAGGAAUCCUAUCCAGUUGUGCAAGAUCUCGGCUUUCGUGUAUAGAGCUGCGUAGAUAAAGUUGAGCUCAACCUCUAAGAUUCUUAAAGCUUCUUCUGCUUUCAGCGAGUCAAAGAAUCUCUUGCUCUCAGCUCGUUGUUGAAAUGUAAAGAUGAGAUCAACCACAAGACCUUUGAAGAUAUUAAAGUACUUGUAGGCGUACUGGAGAAUAUUGAGUGGAGUGAACCCGUCAGGAGGCUUUACCGGAGCAUCGUCUCUUGGAUCUUUCUCAGGCUCGCCAACCUUGAUAAUCUGUGUAGGCAUCUUCAUAUCUUUCUUGGCUGCGUAUUCCUCCAUGAGCUUUGCGUAGUUUGGUCCAGGAUCAGGCCGCUGAAUCAUGGAAUCUUUGAACUUGUCAAGACUCGCCAGGUACAAAGCUAAUGUCCUCUCGACAUACUUGAUCACCCCGGUCGCAAACACCAGCAAAAUAGGUUUCCAAAGAGCAUUGGGUAACGACUGCAAAAGCACGUAAACGGUUGCAACUGAUUGAAAGAAAAGACCCAACAAGUGCCUGAGCCAGAGCUCGUUAUCUUCAAGGGCAAGGGCAGUGAUUGUAUCUGGACCACCGAGAUGCAAGAGCAAGAAAGGAACCCAGAAAGCAAACAACUCGGCGCUCUUUUUCGGUUCUCCGGGUUCUGGAUCAUCUCCUUGACUAUCUGAGAUUUGUCCGGCGGCGAAAUUGGCAGACCAAUCAGCAAGAAGGUAAGCUGACCAAAUGAAAGAGAGUAAAACUUUUCUGGAUGAGCGUUUUCUUUGAGGUGCAAAGAAAAUGAGAAAUGUUUGAAGGCUGAGACUGAAGAUUAAGGUACUUCGAAUGCUCCAUUCGUCCCAAAUGUCCUUGAUAGGCUUUGGGAUUGCGUUCACCAUCUUGAAACUGAUUUGCUGAAACAGACAAGAACUGAUGGUUUAUGAGAUCUAACACAGAUACAUCUAAAGAGGUUGACUUCUUUCUUUUUCUGGUUUUACUAUGAGUUUUUUUGCUUUUGAGGCUUUUUGUUGUGUGUGAAGGUUUGAAUUAUUCUGGUUGGACAGCCAUUGGAGGCUACUUGGAGACCUUGAGAUUUCUCCGUUUUUCCUUGAAU
rnacentral:lncRNA from 1 species